UACGUAGGAGGCAAGCGUUGUCCGGAAUCACUGGGCGUAAAGCGCGUGUAGGUGGUGGGACAAGUCUGCUGUGAAAGCGCCUGGCUUAACCGGGCGAGGUCGGCGGAAACUGUUCGACUCGAGGACGGUAGAGGGGGGUGGAAUUCCCGGUGUAGUGGUGAAAUGCGUAGAGAUCGGGAGGAACACCUGUGGCGAAGGCGGCCCCCUGGGCCGGCC
rnacentral:rRNA from 1 species